CCUACGGGGUGCACCAGUAGGGAACCCUCGGCAAUGGACGAAAGUCUGACCGAGCAACGCCGCGUGAGUGAAGAAGGUUUUCGGAUCGUAAAACUCUGUUGUUAGAGAAGAACAAGUAGGAGAGUAACUGCUCUUACCUUGACGGUAUCUAACCAGAAAGCCACGGCUAACUACGUGCCAGCAGCCGCGGUAUUCGUAGGUGGCAAGCGUUGUCCGGAUUUAUUGGGCGUAAAGCGAGCGCAGGCGGUCUUUUAAGUCUGAUGUGAAAGCCCUCGGCUCAACCGAGGAAGGUCAUUGGAUACUGGAGGACUUGAGUGCAGAAGAGGAGAGUGGAAUUCCAUGUGUAGCGGUGAAAUGCGUAGAUAUAUGGAGGAACACCAGUGGCGAAGGCGACUCUCUGGUCUGUAACUGACGCUGAGGCUCGAAAGCGUGGGGAGCAAACAGGAUUAGAUACCCUUGUAGUC
rnacentral:rRNA from 1 species